AACGAACGCUGGCGGCAGGCUUAACACAUGCAAGUCGAACGCAUCCUUCGGGGUGAGUGGCAGACGGGUGAGUAACGCGUGGGAACGUGCCCUUCAGUUCGGGAUAACCCAGGGAAACUUGGGCUAAUACCGGAUACGUGCGAGAGCAGAAAGAUUUAUCGCUGAAGGAUCGGCCCGCGUCUGAUUAGCUAGUUGGUGGGGUAAUGGCACACCAAGGCGACGAUCAGUAGCUGGUCUGUGAGGAUGAUCAGCCACAUUGGGACUGAGACACGGCCCAAACUCCUACGGGAGGCAGCAGUGGGGAAUAUUGGACAAUGGGCGCAAGCCUGAUCCAGCCAUGCCGCGUGAGUGAUGAAGGCCUUAGGGUUGUAAAGCUCUUUCGUCCGGGACGAUAAUGACGGUACCGGAAGAAGAAGCCCCGGCUAACUUCGUGCCAGCCGCCGCCGUAAUAC
rnacentral:rRNA from 1 species